CCCUGCUUCCAGGAAAAGCCUCUAAGCAUCAGGUAACAUCAAAUCGUACCCCAAACCGACACAGGUGGUCAGGUAGAGAAUACCAAGGCGCUUGAGAGAACUCGGGUGAAGGAACUAGGCAAAAUGGUGCCGUAACUUCGGGAGAAGGCACGCUGACAUGUAGGUGAAGUGGUUUACCCAUGGAGCUGAAGUCAGUCGAAGAUACCAGCUGGCUGCAACUGUUUAUUAAAAACACAGCACUGUGCAAACACGAAAGUGGACGUAUACGGUGUGACGCCUGCCCGGUGCCGGAAGGUUAAUUGAUGGGGUCAGCGCAAGCGAAGCUCCUGAUCGAAGCCCCGGUAAACGGCGGCCGUAACUAUAACGGUCCUAAGGUAGCGAAAUUCCUUGUCGGGUAAGUUCCGACCUGCACGAAUGGCGUAAUGAUGGCCAGGCUGUCUCCACCCGAGACUCAGUGAAAUUGAACUCGCUGUGAAGAUGCAGUGUACCCGCGGCAAGACGGAAAGACCCCGUGAACCUUUACUAUAGCUUGACACUGAACAUUGAGCCUUGAUGUGUAGGAUAGGUGGGAGGCUUUGAAGCGUGGACGCCAGUCUGCGUGGAGUCAACCUUGAAAUACCACCCUUUAAUGUUUGAUGUUCUAACGUGGACCCGUGAUCCGGGUUGCGGACAGUGUCUGGUGGGUAGUUUGACUGGGGCGGUCUCCUCCUAAAGAGUAACGGAGGAGCACGAAGGUUGGCUAAUCCUGGUCGGACAUCAGGAGGUUAGUGCAAUGGCAUAAGCCAGCUUGACUGCGAGCGUGACGGCGCGAGCAGGUGCGAAAGCAGGUCAUAGUGAUCCGGUGGUUCUGAAUGGAAGGGCCAUCGCUCAACGGAUAAAAGGUACUCCGGGGAUAACAGGCUGAUACCGCCCAAGAGUUCAUAUCGACGGCGGUGUUUGGCACCUCGAUGUCGGCUCAUCACAUCCUGGGGCUGAAGUAGGUCCCAAGGGUAUGGCUGUUCGCCAUUUAAAGUGGUACGCGAGCUGGGUUUAGAACGUCGUGAGACAGUUCGGUCCCUAUCUGCCGUGGGCGCUGGAGAACUGAGGGGGGCUGCUCCUAGUACGAGAGGACCGGAGUGGACGCAUCACUGGUGUUCGGGUUGUCAUGCCAAUGGCACUGCCCGGUAGCUAAAUGCGGAAGAGAUAAGUGCUGAAAGCAUCUAAGCACGAAACUUGCCCCGAGAUGAGUUCUCCCUGAGACUUAGAGUCUCCUGAAGGAACGUUGAAGACGACGACGUUGAUAGGCCGGGUGUGUAAGCGCAGCGAUGCGUUGAGCUAACCGGUACUAAUGAACCGUGAGGCUUAACCUUACAACGCCGAAGCUGUU
rnacentral:rRNA from 1 species